AUUGAACGCUGGCGGCAGGCCUAACACAUGCAAGUCGAACGGUAACAGGAAGAAGCUUGCUUCUUUGCUGACGAGUGGCGGACGAGUGAGUAAUGUCUGGGAAACUGCCUGAUGGAGGGGGAUAACUACUGGAAACGGUAGCUAAUACCGCAUAACGUCGCAAGACCAAAAAGGGGGACCUUCGGGCUUCUUGCAAUCGGAUGUGCCCAGACGGGAUUAGCUAGUAGGUGGGGUAACGGCUCACCUAGGCGACGAUCCCUAGCUGGUCUGAGAGGAUGACCAGCCACACUGGAACUGAGACACGGUCCAGACUCCUACGGGAGGCAGCAGUGGGGAAUAUUGCACAAUGGGCGCAAGCCUGAUGCAGCCAUGCCGCGUGUAUGAAGAAGGCCUUCGGGUUGUAAAGUACUUUCAGCGGGGAGGAAGGGAGUAAAGUUAAUACCUUUGCUCAUUGACGUUACCCGCAGAAGAAGCACCGGCUAACUCCGUG
rnacentral:rRNA from 1 species